GGCUUCAUGGUCUAGUGGUAUGAUUCUUGCUUUGGGUCACCAUCUCAUAUGCAAGAGGCCCCGCGUUCGAAUCGCGGUGGAGCCC